GCCUACGGGGGGCAGCAGUGGGGAAUAUUGCACAAUGGGGGGAACCCUGAUGCAGCGACGCCGCGUGGGUGAAGGAGUACUUCGGUACGUAGAGCCCUAUCAGCAGGAAAGAAAAUGACGGUACCUGACUAAGAAGCCCCGGCUAACUACGUGCCAGCAGCCGCGGUAAUACGUAGGGGGCAAGCGUUAUCCGGAUUUACUGGGUGUAAAGGGAGCGUAGACGGCAGUGCAAGUCCGGAGUGAAAGCCCGGGGCUCAACCCUGGGACUGCUCUGGAAACUGUAAAGCUGGAGUGCGGGAGGGGCG
rnacentral:rRNA from 1 species